rnacentral:rRNA from 1 species
GAGUUUGAUCCUGGCUCAGAUUGAACGCUGGCGGCGUGCCUAACACAUGCAAGUCGAGCGGUAACAGGCGUAGCAAUACGUGCUGACGAGCGGCGAACGGGUGCGUAAUACAUGGGAAUCUGCCCUUUGGUGGGGAAUAACCCGGCGAAAGCCGGGCUAAUGCCGCAUGAGAUCCUCGGAUGAAAGCGGGGGACCGUAAGGCCUCGCGCCGAAGGAUGAGCCCAUGUCGGAUUAGCUAGUUGGUGGGGUAACGGCUCACCAAGGCGACGAUCCGUAGCUGGUCUGAGAGGACGGCCAGCCACACUGGGACUGAGACACGGCCCAGACUCCUACGGGAGGCAGCAGUGGGGAAUAUUGGACAAUGGGGGCAACCCUGAUCCAGCCAUGCCGCGUGAGUGAAGAAGGCCUUCGG